CCUACGGGAGGCAGCAGUAGGGAAUCUUCCGCAAUGGACGAAAGUCUGACGGAGCAACGCCGCGUGAACGAUGAAGGCCUUCGGGUCGUAAAGUUCUGUUGUUAGGGAAGAACAAGUGCUAGUUGAAUAAGCUGGCACCUUGACGGUACCUAACCAGAAAGCCACGGCUAACUACGUGCCAGCAGCCGCGGUAAUACGUAGGUGGCAAGCGUUGUCCGGAAUUAUUGGGCGUAAAGCGCGCGCAGGCGGUUUCUUAAGUCUGAUGUGAAAGCCCCCGGCUCAACCGGGGAGGGUCAUUGGAAACUGGGAAACUUGAGUGCAGAAGAGGAAAGUGGAAUUCCAAGUGUAGCGGUGAAAUGCGUAGAGAUUUGGAGGAACACCAGUGGCGAAGGCGACUUUCUGGUCUGUAACUGACGCUGAGGCGCGAAAGCGUGGGGAGCAAACAGGAUUAGAUACCCUGGUAGUCCACGCUGUAAACGAUGAGUGCUAAGUGUUAGAGGGUUUCCGCCUUUAGUGCUGAAGUUAACGCAUUAAGCACUCCGCCUGGGGAUACGGUCGCAAGACUGAAACUCAAAGGAAUUGACGG
rnacentral:rRNA from 1 species